rnacentral:rRNA from 1 species
CAGCAGCCGCGGGAAUACGUAGGGUGCAAGCGUUAAUCGGAAUUACUGGGCGUAAAGCGUGCGCAGGCGGUUAUAUAAGACAGAUGUGAAAUCCCCGGGAUCAACCUGGGAACUGCAUUUGUGACUGUAUAGCUAGAGUACGGCAGAGGGGGAUGGAAUUCCGCGUGUAGCAGUGAAAUGCGUAGAUAUGCGGAGGAACACCGAUGGCGAAGGCAAUCCCCUGGGCCUGUACUGACGCUCAUGCACAAAAGCGUGGGGAGCAAACAGGAUUAGAUACCCGUGUAGUCCCUGUCUCUUAUAC